rnacentral:lncRNA from 1 species
UAUUAGGCCAAAAAAAAAUAUUUGUCUGUUUCCUGUUUCCCGACCGACCCUGACUCAAAGCUCCCGACCCUAGAUCUUUUUAUUCAAUUCCGGAAAAAAAAUCGUUUCCGGUCCCGAAAAAUUAGUUUCCGGUCCGAUCCAGAUCCGUAUUUUACUAUACCCAAACAAUCAAAAUGGCUGCUCCCAGCACAAAUGUGCUACAAUUAAGGUUUAAAAAAUGUCGGCACUGGGAGGAUUAUUCAAUUAAAGCUUCUUUAAAGAGAUUAAAUGAUUUUAGGGUACAGGACCCUAACCAAACAUGACAUUUAACCAUCUGUAAAUCUGACAGGGAGUGCAAAAAUAAUAAAAAAAAAAAAAAAAAAAAAAAAAUCCAGACCUACCGACCCUGAUUUUUUUGCCUUGGCAGCAGGAAACAGACAUAUAUUUUUUUUUGGCCUUA